AAAUUGAAGAGUUUGAUCAUGGCUCAGAUUGAACGCUGGCGGCAGGCCUAACACAUGCAAGUCGAACGGUAACAGGAAGCAGCUUGCUGCUUCGCUGACGAGUGGCGGACGGGUGAGUAAUGUCUGGGAAACUGCCUGAUGGAGGGGGAUAACUACUGGAAACGGUGGCUAAUACCGCAUAACGUCGCAAGACCAAAGAGGGGGACCUUCGGGCCUCUUGCCAUCAGAUGUGCCCAGAUGGGAUUAGCUUGUUGGUGAGGUAACGGCUCACCAAGGCGACGAUCCCUAGCUGGUCUGAGAGGAUGACCAGCCACACUGGAACUGAGACACGGUCCAGACUCCUACGGGAGGCAGCAGUGGGGAAUAUUGCACAAUGGGCGCAAGCCUGAUGCAGCCAUGCCGCGUGUAUGAAGAAGGCCUUCGGGUUGUAAAGUACUUUCAGCGGGGAGGAAGGUGUUGCGGUUAAUAACCGCAGCAAUUGACGUUACCCGCAGAAGAAGCACCGGCUAACUCCGUGCCAGCAGCCGCGGUAAUACGGAGGGUGCAAGCGUUAAUCGGAAUUACUGGGC
rnacentral:rRNA from 3 species